rnacentral:lncRNA from 1 species
AAGAGUAACCGUAAGAACUACUUCCGGUUCGUCUCCAUUUUCGUGAAACUCCUCACCAUUUGGAUUAUGAAAACAUAAGUGAGAACAAAAAUAAUCGCCGAGCUAUCAUAGUUUUGUUUCUUGAUUAAAACACGACCGUCCUUUUCUUUUUCUAUCUGGGUACUGUCAUCCCUAAUCUGCACUUUGCAUUCCCUUUUUUCGUCGCUACUAUCUACCGUGACUCUUUUGGGGGAUUUUUAUGUGUCAUGUUUAUUUGUAUUAAAAACACUUAUUCCAUUUUGACCUCUCUUGCUUGCAGAAAAACACGGUACUUGCUCCUCUCCGGUAAUACAGGACGAAUACAGCUACUUCUCGACAACUCUUGACCUUUACUUCAAGUAUAAUAUAACGGUUCGUUCUAACGCAUUCGGCAUCUAGUGAGCUAAAUGGAUUUUUACGGCUUGAUUUUCCCACGAAAUUAAGCUCAGUUUAUCAUUCGAAAAUAUUAAACAUCCAGUCUAUCAUUUUUUAUUUGUGGCCAUGGUGAACUCAGAAUUAUGGCUAGUAACAUUCUGAUACGUAUGCACCAGUGGUGGCAACUAAUAUUCUGAUAUAUAUAUAUAUGCAUAAAAAUAGUUUUUUUCUGUUUCUUCUUUUAUUUUUAAUGUUAACUUCAUCGAAGUUAUAGAUCGAUUUCCUGAGUGUACGAUUCAGACCGAAGAAACUUGAUAUCGUCCUUCCACUACUAGCCUGACCACCCUUUCUGCAUGAUCUGUGAAAUAUUUGAACCAAUAAACCGAACACGGACCCUGGUUGCUGUUGUUAAUCAUGUUUGUGGUGUAAAGUUAGGAAAGAGCUUCAAAAGCGCUGAAAACGGGAUCAAAUUUGAGCAACUGGUCCGGUUGAACACAGAAAACGAUUUAUUAUUUUCAGCUUUCUCAUGAUGUCUCUUCAAUGUCCUGUUUUGGUUCUAAAAUCAUUUUCUGGCUGAUUUAUUGCAGAAAGUGCUGAAGGGUGCUGGGUUUUUAGCAAGCAAUGCAGAGAAGUAUAAACUGGCCGAGAUAUCCGCUGUGAUUAAGAACUCAACAGGUGCUUCUCCGUCGCUGGUGUGUUCUCAUGAUACCGUUCAGGAGCUACGUCUCUGCCUCCACAAGGAUUUCACGGUCAGUUAAUUCAGUGUGAGAUGUUGCCGUAAGUAAUAUUAGAUUGCCGAGAAUAGAUUCUGAUGAAUUGAUCCUUUAUAAAGGCGUAUAAGGGUGCCUUACUGCAGGCAAAUCCCUCAAAUUCAUUUAAUUUGAUAGCGUUUUCUUGAGACAAAUAUGGGUUUGUACUUUGAAGUGGAUUAUAGCGUAAACCUCUGGGUCGCCAUAUUUUAAGCAAAUAGAUCAUAACGUUCUCUUUAAUGCCUAGUAUUCAAUUGCCAUCGAAUCUUAUCCUUUAACUCCUCUGUUAAAACAGCCUCGCGACUGUGGAAUUCUCUCAAGCACCGCACAAGAUGACUUGGACCCCUGUCCACAGUAUAUCCGAUUGCCAAAGUUUACCCCCCCCUCCUAGUGAGUAACCACGGAGACCACCAAGGCUGUAAUCUCCUCUCCAUUUCUCUUUGAUGGUCCUCUAGUUUCCAUCUCAUCGGACUAACCGACUUCUCAUCUCUCUUGGACAACUCCACAGCUAGCGCUGACCUUGACCACAGAAGAGGGAGACUUCAAGCUUUUACCGCAGGAAGAAGCUCACUCGUUGAAAUAAACCACCUUGAAAAGGCAGCAACAUGAUCUUCGGCCUCGUGUUGUAAAUAAAGCAAAGAUAUUAUGAAACUACGUGCCUCAUCUGUAUUAUCUUCCUAAUUAUGGAAACAAAAUCGUGGUUUCUUUUUUCUGGAUUCCGCUAGAUUCCCUAAGACUGCAAAUGAUUUCUCAUCUGCUUCGUCGUCUCCAUCAGCUUCUCCGCAGAGCUUUCCUAAUAGGGCAGCGCGGGCGCCACACGUACAGGGUCAACCCACGAUGGCUUCUUCAUGUUAUAGUAGAAGUGGACUGUCAUCUGCACCAGCUCAUUAGCCGUCAUCAUCUCUGCAGGUCGAGAGGAGAUCGAAAGCAAUGACCCAUCUGAGAGACGAUGCCUAGAGGGGGAGCUGGUUUUGACCUUUCUCUCUUUACAGGAUUCUAUUACCCAGGAGGAACAGCAGCUGCGGGCAUUCUCUGACUUUGAGAGCGUAGGCCAGGUCAGUCUCGAUGUUCAUGUCGAUCUUCACUGUUUGCAGAUAUCAUAAGCUUUGGUGGGGAGGAUUUUAGUGGCAAAAAAUGUGCAUAGAGAUGUGGAAAGACCCAAAUAGAGGGAUGAGAAUCAGACCAUUAGGAGCAGCUGGUCUUUAGCUUUCCAAUACACCUCCGCCGGCUUAUUGAUGUAGUGGAGUUGUGAAAGAGGCAUCGAGUUGGGCUUGAAUCCACAGUUCAAAUCUUGACGGAGGAACUAAUCAGAAAUCUAUAGAUCUAUAGUCUUGAACUUUUCAAUUCAUAAGGAGAACGAUUUUUGAAUCCAUAAGAUCAGAGAUAAAACUCUUUGAAUCCAUAAGGAGGUGUUUGAAUCCACUGUCAAAAAUGGGGAGAAGUUUGCAGAAGAGAACUUCAAAAAAUUGGAAUUGAAUAUUUGGGGUCACACUUGGGCCUUUAUAUAGGGAUAGAAAGGGUUUGGGACACUACUUAAGGUUAGGUAAUUUCUGAAAUAGUAAUAGACUUCGAAAAAUUAAAAUAGACUCUAACUUUCAAAAAAAUCAAAAUAGAUUUUGAAUUACUAAAAAUAAAAAAGUUAGAAAUUGAAAUAGAGCUUGGACUGUUCUUAUAGUUUUAGGAAAACCCUUAUGAUUUUAGGUCGUUUUUUCACGUUAUCCUCUCUAAGGGCUAGUAUUACAUCUUUUGAGCUCAUCUUUUGUUUUUUAAGAGUUUUGGGCUGUUUAGGUGUUGUUGGUUUUAUCAGGCUUCUCUUCUUAAAAGGAAUUCAUCAUUGAAUUCUUUUUAUCAUCUUUUGAAUCAAUAUAAUAUUCAUAAAUUGUGCACAUUAAAUGUGUUUAAAAAAUUGAUACUAGUGGGAACUCAUUGAAAAAAAAUGUACACAUUAUUGUUGAUCCAUUGUAGCACUCUGAAUGGUCCAUACUUUUUUAUUUCAGUCUGUUAUUAGUUAUUAGGAAUCAUUAUUUUCAUAAAUAAACAAUAACAAGAUUUUCAAAUUUAAAUAUUUUCUUCUUUCUUUUCAAAUCCAUGGCUGCUUUGUACUUUCAUAAUUCAUUUAUAUGUUUUUAUUGAACACCUUAAAUUAUCUUGACAUGACUUGUCUUAUUAUUUAUUCUAAUUUUUCAUAGUAACGAGAAAAAUAAUUAACUAUAGAAAAUAGAAGCUGGUUAGUUGAAUGAUUAAUCAUAGAAUUAUAAGUGAAUUCUAUUUAUGUUAGAACAUAGUCUCAUUCUAUGAUUUUUCUCUUGAAAUACAUGAAUUAAAUUAUGGAGGAUUCUUAUCUUUGAUUUUUUACUGACUUAUCUUUGAUCAUUAGUCUUUUGGUGGUAAAUACCAUUGACUUUUAUAAAUGUAUCAAAUAUUUUUCUGAAGUAUUUUCUAAGAUUGAGAUAGAAAUUUAGAAUCUCUACCAGUUUUGAUUGAUUCAUAAAUACAAUAGAAAUGAACAAUUUUCCCAAAUAAAAGUUAUCCUACUUGGAUCACCAUUUUAUCCUCUUGUAUGUUAUAAAAUCAGUAAUUUUAAAAAAUUGAUGCAACACCACAAUAAUAGAAUCUACUGCUCUAUGUUUUCUGGGGACCUAAAAUAAAACAUAUUGAAAUGUAAGUUCAUUUGCAGUGCAAAAUUGAAAGUGAAGCAUACAAAUCAAUAUUUUGACACUAUCCCUUUGUUGACUAGACAAAUUUGUCACUUAUGUACGAAAUUUGUAACAUUCUUCUCAAUUGUGGCCAGAAAUUUCUUUUUUGACCAAGUGUAAGGUCUUGUCACUACGAAAAUGUUUUCUUAAUCAUCUAGAUUGGAAUUUGGAAAGUAAAUUUUCCCAUACAUAUGUGAGUUUUAUAAAGUAAGAAAUACUCUUGUAUAUCAAAGCCUAUAUUUAAUUUUUGUAACAUGUGAACAUCCUAAACAUGUUCAAAAUCUUCAUCAUUACCAUAUAAUUCUUUCGUAUAAUCAAAUCUAGUAAUUCCAAUAGAAAAGCUCACUAAAUAAAUUAUUUUUCACUUAAUGUAUGUGCCACUUUAAAAAAUGAAUUCUCUAUUAUUAUCUAUCACAUUAUCAUAUGAGGUGAACUUUUCUGAACACCUAAAAUAUAACUUUCUAAAUCAGUCAUCAAUGCAAAAAGUUACUUCAAAGUUACAUUCACUUCGUCAGAUCUAUGAUCAUUUUCUCUUGAAACUUAAUAAAAUCAGAUCAUGAGAUAAUGCAUACCUCUAGAGCAUCUUCUUCAGUAAUCUAAACUAUUUUACUUUAAGAUAUUUUUGAAGGCGAAUUCGCAAAAUUCAUCAUGACUCUAAUAUUGAUUGAUGAAAUGGAGUUGCAGAAGAUGCAGAUAUUUAGGUUCGAAUCCACAAUGCUUAAACCUAGAUGGGGGGAAUCAAUCAUGAAUUCACAAAACUAAAUCCACAAGGGGGACAGCUUUGAAUCCGCAAGGUUGAAGGUACAACCCUUAAGUCAACAAGGAGGGUGCCUACAUCUACAAAUAGAAAUAAAGAGUAUGUCAAACGAUUAAAAUUUGAUUCUCAAGGUUACACUUGUAGGCCCUUAUAUAGGACCAGGGAAGGGGGGAGCGUCUCAUAAGGCUAAAGAGACUUUGACAAAAGUAAAACACUCCAAAACGAAAACAAACUCUAAAAAUAAAAAAUCAAAAUAUAAUUUAAAUUAACAUAAAUAAAAACCUAAAAAAUAACAAAAACACACUCUAGACAUCUUAAUAGAGCUCCGAUGGGUCUUCUUGUACUUUUAGAAGGCUCAAUAUGAUUUUGGGCUACUUUUCUCACGUUUUCCUCUUUAAGGCCCAACACUGAAUCUUUUGGGCUCAAUUUUGAGUCUUUUAAGCGUUCUGGGCUACUUGGGCAUUCAAGGUUGCAUCACUUCUCCAACUCCUUGAGAAGCUUCUAGUUCUCCACCGCCCUGAUUAAAUUGCAAAUGGCCUCAAGAUGAGAACCAUCCGCCACUCGGGAUCUGCCGGCCACUCGGGAUCCUCCUCCACCUCCACCACCACCACGACCUCCCCCCCGGCUCCAUUGCAGACUGUUCCUUAAUGGGCCUGAUAGACCCCGACACACUGGGCCGGCCCAAAUACCGAAUGUACGACUGUAAAUAUAAAUAGAAUAUUUAUAUUUUUUUAAUAAUAAAAGCCGGACAUCUCGGCGGGUACAACGACCUUCGGAGCCUCACCGAACUCGCCCUAAUUUUUUAUAAUAUUUUUUAAAAAAUUAUAUAUUUACAAAGCGAAUAUGCUGUUGCUUAACGCUACGGACUUCGUGAUACCCCCCGCUCCCACUCCCUCUCGGCAGAAAGCGUGGAAAAUGGGCACGAAUGGAUCACCGUUGAUGAUGAUGGGGUAUACCAUAUGGACGGUCAAGAUGAGCAUUCAGCACGACGGCGGGGCACUGUUAUAAACUGGAAGCGCGGCCGCCGGCGGACGUGGGAGCGGCGGCGUCAUGAGGAGUCUCGGGGCAGCUCUCCUCGUCGUCGUCAUUUUCUCUCUCUUCUCCCCCUCUCUCUCCUCUGCGUACGGCGCUGCUCGUGGGGUGAGAGAGUUCGACUACUUCCUCCUGAGCCUUCAGUGGCCGGGCACCUUCUGCCGGAGGACUCGCCACUGCUGCCCCUCCAACGGUUGCUGCAAGGGGUUUUCCUCUUCUCCCCUCUCUCUCUCUCUCUCUCUCUACGUUCCUUUUCUUCGUNNNNNNNNNNNNNNNNNNNNCUUCUCCCUCCUCUCUCUCUCUCUCUCUCUAGCCUUUUUCUUCUGGCGGUAGAUUGAAUUUCUCGUAGAUUGCUUGGUUUGGGGCUUUUGCUCCGUCGGAUCUCUUUAGACGGAUGAAGACGGGAUAAACGAUUGAACGGCUACGAAUAUUGCCUGGAUAGCAUCGUGAUCCGAUAAAAGAGAUUUGACAGAUUUUAUCGAAUUGAAAGACUCUCUAUUCAUUCAAUGUUGUCCGUCCGUCCACAUGCAGAGGCGUCGAUGUUAUUUUUCGCUAUCGAUUGCUUCCUCUUUCUUGGCCAGUUGCGCACACGCAGAUUUAUGUGCUAAAAUGUUCGGUGUUCAUCUUCGCGGAAGCAUCCGUGCAAUUAGGCAAUGUGAGACGUGAGUAGGGGGAUUCUUAUGCCGCGCGUAGUCGAUUACUCGUCUGAUGUCGUACAUGCAUCGACAUUUCUUAUCCUAUUUUUUCUCCAUCUUGAUUUCCUUAUGUUUUAUUUUCCUGCAUUUUUUGCGUCGCAUAUUUUGUGCAUAUCAUCCGCUGAUAGUCAUUUUUUUUUAUUUUAAACUUUAUUUUGAAUUUUACGGUAAUGAAUAACGUGGGCUUGAUUAUAUCAUCGUUAUUUGUCUUUUUAUCCCAAUCGCUUAAUCGAAUCAGCGAGAAGAACUUGACUGGUUAAUGUCUAUGCAGGUCUGUAGCUUUAGACGACUUCACAAUCCGUAAGUGCAAUGACGACAGAUUAAUUUAACCACUUAUGGAUUUGAUUUUAAGCAGACAAACCCUGAAGCUUAAGCUUACAUGCUUCAUCUCUACAUAUGUAUUCGUAACAGACGGAUUGUGGCCAAAUUACGAUGAUGGAACCUGGCCAGCUUGCUGCAGCAACAACCGUUUUGAUGUGAAAAAGGUCCUGUCACAAAUCAUACACGGAAUUUUUUCUCUGUCGCAUAGUAUUUGCAGUAUCCCAUUCUUUUUAACUCCUUUAAAUUCUUCUUAAUCAAAGCUUCAAUCACAGGUUUCACCCUUGAUUGGGAAUCUUUCAAAAUAUUGGCCAACGUUAAGCUGUAGCUCUUCAUCUACCUGUCAUGGUGGAAAAGGACUUUUUUGGGCGCAUGAGGUGCUUCAUUACUUAUAACUUUUAUAAAGCCGCCUUAUCAUAUUUACUGACAGACAAUUUCUAUGUUUUGUUUGAUGUACAUUCAUCUGCGUGGACGCUCAUGUGCAGUGGGGUAAGUUAUUUCCUUCGAAACUUCUGUAUGCGGCUGAUUAUUUUCCUGGGUGAAGCAGAGAGUCUUGUCCUCACCAUUUGGAUUAUGAAAAAAUAACUGAGAAUAAAAUAAUUGCCGAGCUAUCAUAGUUUUAUUUAUUGAUUAAAACACGACCGUCCUUUUCUUUUUCUAUCUGGGUACUGGCAUCCCUAAUCUACACUUUGCAUUCCCUUUUUGCGUCGCUACUAUCUACUGUGACUCUUUUGGGGGAUUUUUAUGUGUCAUGUUUAUUUGUAUUAAAAACACUUAUUCCAUUUUGACUCUCUUGCUUGCAGAAAAACAUGGUACUUGCUCCUCUCCGGUAAUAAAGGACGAAUACAGCUACUUCUCGACGACUCUUGACCUUUACUUCAAGUAUAAUAUAACGGUUCGUUCUAACGCAUUCGG